rnacentral:ncRNA from 1 species
ACAUUGCGAUCUGGUGGUGGGGCAGCUGAGGCGGCCUUGACCAGUCAUGUUCACACGACACGUCCAAGCCGCCCGAAAUUUCAGGCGGCUUUUUU